rnacentral:rRNA from 1 species
AACGAACGCUGGCGGCGGGCUUAACACAUGCAAGUCGAGCGAGGACUACAAGACUCGCUGCGGAGGGGGGAGUACAGCGUGGGAUUGUGCCCUUCUCCACGGCAUCGCUCUGGGAAACUAGGUGUAACACCGGAUACGCCCUAUGGGGCAAAGAUUGAUCGGAGAAGGCUGAGCCCGCGUGGGAUUAGGUGGUAGGGGGGGUAAGGGCCUACCAAGCCGACGAUCCAUAGCUGGUCUGAGAGGAUGAUCAGCCACACUGGGACUGAGACACGGCCCAGACUCCUACGGGAGGCAGCAGUGGGGAAUCUUAGACAAUGGGGGGAACACUGAUCUAGCCAGGCCGCGUGAGUGAUGAAGGCCUUCGGGUCGUAAAGCUCUUUCAGAUGGGAAGAUAAUGACGGUACCAUCGGAAAAAGCCCCGGCUAACUCCGUG